UUACCAUUAUUGACCAAGGAGUUGACUUUUUCCUCGUCCGUUGAGUUAAGAAAAUUGUUUGAGAAUGUCGUAGAAUACGAAAAAUCGAGUUCGUGGACACGAAGUUUGUUUAAAUCGGAGUUUCUACGGAAAAGUUAUGAUCAAAAAUAGAAAGUACUAUUCAUAGCAUGGUUAUUUUUUUUUAGAUGAGUUUAUAAUUGUGGAAAAGAGGAAAUAAAAACAGAAAAGGAAGAGAGAGAAAUCAGUUUCCCGAUUCCAGCCCCCCUCCUCUUCCUUUCUUCCUUCUUUCUUUUCUCUUCUUUCUUUUCUUUCUCUUUCUGCAAACCGGAGCCACUUUUUCCGGUGAAACCACCGCCACCGGCCGCACCACCGGCCAUUAGAGGAUCUUCUCUUGCUCCUCUUGUAUCUAAGCUCGUUUUGAUCGGUGGAGGAAGAUUUGAAGGUGUUUGAGACUGUGAACAGUAGCGUGAACAGUUCCAUCCGAGUCCUUGAGUUUGGGUUUGGAAUUCCGGCUUUUUCUGCUUGUUUUGGAGAUUUUCGCCGGAUUUCUUUGAAGUUUUGGGUUGCUGGGUUGUUGUUGAUGAUCAUAUCUAACUAUUGCAGCUUGUGUUGGCCGGUGGAGGAAGAUUUGAGGGUGUUUGGAGACGUGAACAGUAGCGUGAACUGUGCUGCCGAAUUCUUGUUAUUUUUUGGGUUUAAAUUCGGCUAUUUCUGCUUGUAUUUGGUGGCUGCUGCAGGACGUAUUGAGCCCUCGAGCGAGGGUGACACGGGCAGGCAGCAGGUUUAGCUGCGGGACUC